GACGAACGCUGGCGGCGUGCUUAACACAUGCAAGUCGAACGAUAAACUUGGAGCUUGCUCUGGGGGAUUAGUGGCGAACGGGUGAGUAACACGUGAGUAACCUGCCCUGGACUCUGGGAUAACUUCGAGAAAUCGGAGCUAAUACCGGAUAGGACCUUGCGCCGCAUGGUGUGGGGUGGAAAGUUUUUCGGUUUGGGAUGGACUCGCGGCCUAUCAGCUUGUUGGUGAGGUAAUGGCUCACCAAGGCGUCGACGGGUAGCCGGCCUGAGAGGGUGACCGGCCACACUGGGACUGAGACACGGCCCAGACUCCUACGGGAGGCAGCAGUGGGGAAUAUUGCACAAUGGGCGCAAGCCUGAUGCAGCAACGCCGCGUGCGGGAUGACGGCCUUCGGGUUGUAAACCGCUUUUAGUAGUGAAGAAGCCUUCGGGUGACGGUACCUGCAGAAAAAGGACCGGCUAACUACGUGCCAGCCGCCGCAGUAACAC
rnacentral:rRNA from 1 species